rnacentral:rRNA from 1 species
CGAUAUCGACGUAGUUGAUCAGUGGCUACAGAACGAACGCUGGCGGCAUGCCUAACACAUGCAAGUCGAACGAAGGCUUCGGCCUUAGUGGCGCACGGGUGCGUAACGCGUGGGAACCUGCCCCUCGGUUCGGAAUAACAGUUAGAAAUGACUGCUAAUACCGGAUGAUGACUUCGGUCCAAAGAUUUAUCGCCGAGGGAUGGGCCCGCGUAGGAUUAGCUAGUUGGUGGGGUAAAGGCCUACCAAGGCGACGAUCCUUAGCUGGUCUGAGAGGAUGAUCAGCCACACUGGGACUGAGACACGGCCCAGACUCCUACGGGAGGCAGCAGUGGGGAAUAUUGGACAAUGGGCGAAAGCCUGAUCCAGCAAUGCCGCGUGAGUGAUGAAGGCCUUAGGGUUGUAAAGCUCUUUUACCAGGGAUGAUAAUGACAGUACCUGGAGAAUAAGCUCCGGCUAACUCCGUG